GUGUAUUGUUAUUGUAAUAUAUUUUAUUAGCGCUGUAAAUUCCUAAACCGUAGGUCAGGGGUUCGAAUCCCUUCCGGGACGCCA
rnacentral:tRNA from 1 species